rnacentral:rRNA from 1 species
CGGACGGGUGAGUAGUGUCUGGGAAACUGCCUGAUGGAGGGGGAUAACUACUGGAAACGGUAGCUAAUACCGCAUAACGUCGCAAGACCAAAGAGGGGGACCUUAGGGCCUCUUGCCAUCGGAUGUGCCCAGAUGGGAUUAGCUAGUAGGUGGGGUAACGGCUCACCUAGGCGACGAUCCCUAGCUGGUCUGAGAGGAUGACCAGCCACACUGGAACUGAGACACGGUCCAG